rnacentral:rRNA from 1 species
GACGAACGCUGGCGGCGUGCUUAACACGUGCAAGUCGAACGGUAAGGCCCCUCGGGGUACACGAGUGGCGAACGGGUGAGUAACACGUGGGUGAUCUGCCCUGCACUUCGGGAUAAGCCUGGGAAACCGGGUCUAAUACCGGAUAGGACCACUGCCUGCAUGGGUGGUGGUGGAAAGCUUUUGCGGUGUGGGAUGGGCCCGCGGCCUAUCAGCUUGUUGGUGGGGUGAUGGCCUACCAAGGCGACGACGGGUAGCCGGCCUGAGAGGGUGACCGGCCACACGGGGACGGGGAUACGGCCCAGGCUCCUACGGGAGGCAGCAGUGGGGGAUAUUGCACAAUGGGCGCAAGCCUGAGGCAGCGACGCCGCGUGAGGGGUGACGGCCUUCGGGUUGUAAACCUCUUUCAGCACCGACGAAGCGCAGGUGACGGUAGGUGCAGAAGAAGGACCGGCCAACUACGUGCCAGCCGCCGCAGUAA